rnacentral:tRNA from 1 species
GGCCCUGUGGCGCAGUUGGUUAGCGUGCCGCCCUGUCACGGCGGAGGUCGCGGGUUCAAGUCCCGUCAGGGUCGCCA